rnacentral:rRNA from 1 species
UGCCUACGGGGCGCAGCAGUGGGGAAUAUUGCACAAUGGGGGAAACCCUGAUGCAGCGACGCCGCGUGAGUGAAGAAGUAUUUCGGUAUGUAAAGCUCUAUCAGCAGGGAAGAAAAUGACGGUACCUGACUAAGAAGCCCCGGCUAACUACGUGCCAGCAGCCGCGGUAAUACGUAGGGGGCAAGCGUUAUCCGGAUUUACUGGGUGUAAAGGGAGCGUAGACGGCAUGGCAAGUCAGAAGUGAAAGCCCGGGGCUCAACUCCGGGACUGCUUUUGAAACUGUGUUGCUAGAUUGCAGGAGAGGG